rnacentral:snRNA from 1 species
AAGUGGUACAGUUCUUUUAGAAUUUGUGCUGGCAGGUCUUCUUGUGUUUUACUGGAAAAGCCUCC